AUCUAUCUAUCUAUCUAUCUAUCUAUCUAUCUAUCUAUCUAUCUAUCUAUCUAUCUAUCUAUCUAUCUAUCUAUCUAUCUAUCUAUCUAUCUAUCUAUCUAUCUAUCUAUCUAUCUAUCUAUCUAUAUAACAUUCUUAUUGCUGUAAUUUUAGGUCAGACUGCUGCAUAGCUCUACUGUACACCGCAGCCUACACAGCCAGAAAAGUAACACAAGUAGCACUGUACCUUUUGGGAAGGACAAGACAAAAGUGGUCUACACUACCACCUGGUGGCAAAUCAUAAAAGUGACUGCUCUGUUCCAGCAGGGGACAUUUUCAAAGAGGCAACAUCUGAUAACAUCUGCAGGACCAGAGAUGAUUGAGGGGUGAAACAGAGGGAUGUUCUGAGUGGUUGCCAUGACAUUUCUACGCGGUUGCUAAGGUCUUCUGAGUGGUCUUUAGCAUCAUGAUGUUGUUGCUACUGGGCUUUGUGAGGUUGCUUACAAGUCAAUAGCCCCCACUCGAUGUAUGAAUCCAAGAACGUCUUCAGAUGGAUAAACAGAAUUAUCUGGACACAGGAGGACAGAAUGUGAAAAGAUUGUCCUAAAGACACAGAUGCUCUCUCUCUCUCUCUCUCUCUCUCUCUCUCUCUCUCUCUCUCUCUUUUCUGAAUGGUAAAUAUUGAGUGUUAACUUUGAUGAAUUGCCUCUAAACUGGCUUUGCACUAUAGCAGAGAGUUGGUCAAGCAGAAAAUGAACUGUGUAAACUUGCUGUCAUUGGUUGUGGUGUCAGCAGUGGGUUUGUAAAUGUAUUAAUGUAGUAUAGAUGUGAAUGUUUUUGCUUUGUUUUGUCUUGAUAACAUUCACCAUACCAUAAACCAAAUAAAUUGCAA